AUUGAACGCUGGCGGAAUGCUUUACACAUGCAAGUCGAACGGCAGCACGGACUUCGGUCUGGUGGCGAGUGGCGAACGGGUGAGUAAUGUAUCGGAACGUGCCCAGUCGUGGGGGAUAACGUAGUGAAAAUUACGCUAAUACCGCAUACGAUCUAUGGAUGAAAGCGGGGGAUCGCAAGACCUCGCGCGAUUGGAGCGGCCGAGAUCAGAUUAGGUAGUUGGGGGGGUAAAGGCCCACCAAGCCAACGAUCCGGAGCUGGUCUGAGAGGACGACCAGCCACACUGGAACGGAGACACGGUCCAGACUCCUACGGGAGGCAGCAGUGGGGAAUUUUGGACAAUGGGCGAAAGCCUGAUCCAGCCAUUCCGCGUGCAGGAUGAGGGCCCUCGGGUUGUAAACUGCUUUUGUACAGAACGAAAAGGUUUCUACUAAUACUAGGAGCUCAUGACGGUACUGUAAGAAUAAGUACCGGCUAACUACGUGCCAGCAGCCGCAGUAA
rnacentral:rRNA from 1 species